rnacentral:lncRNA from 1 species
CAGGAACUCGAGAAGCCCAAAAUCUCUGUCAUCACUCUUAAAUCUGCAUAAGAGCAAAGUUAGUGAAUUCUGCCUUUCUAACAUUUGAUAUGAGAUACAUAGCUUUUCUUCUACUAAAUGAUGUCCUUUCCAGUUAGAAACUGAAAAUAUUCUAACUAUAGUAUCUCUAUUAUAACUUGAACAUUAAAAUGAAGUAAACUCAAUGUACCUAAUACACAUAAAAUCUCUUUCUUUCUGACACUAUUCUCCUUUUCAUUUCUGAGUAGCUAGGAAAGCCUUUAAGGCUGUGAUGGAAUUGAGCAAUUGUUCAAUUUCCCAUUCUUUGUUUAGUGAGAACAGAGCUCCUGCCUAUGGUGAACAAUUCAGUCCUUGUGGACAGGACUCCACGGAUCAGACAAUGCUUUUGGGUUCUUGGGGAAUAUACGGGAAGACCCUGCCCAGGGCCUGGCGCUUGGUAAGCACAGUAAAGAUGCACAGCAUGAGCGUUGCGCUGGACCCAUGAUGCAGUCACUGGCCAUUCUCUGCAGGGUAUUCAAAGCCUCGCCUACUCCCUGGCCUUCUGUGGAGCAACUCAUGUGGCCCUUCUGGUAUACCCUUGGACUUGCUGACUCAAAGGGCUAAAUAGUUCAGGAUGUUCCCUGUUUUCAGAGCCUUGAAGGCCCUAAUGUAACCUCUUUAUUUGACACAGAAGAUCUCAAAGAGAUUUUGUGACUCAUGCCUCACUGCUUCUACUAGCUUCUUUUUUAAAAAAAAAUUUACAUUAAAAAUUUUUUUGAUCAUGCCACAGAGCAGGUGGGAUCUUAGUUCCUGGGCCAGGGAUUGAACUUGUGCCCUUAGCAGUGAAAAGUGCGGAGUCCUAAACCACUGGACUGCCAGCGAAUUCCCUUCUAACUAGUUUUUAAUUUCUGUUGUAACAAGUUACCACAAGCUUAGAGGUCUAAGACAACAAGAAUGUGUUAUCUCAUAGUCCAGUUGUUCAGGGUCCCACAUAGGCGUCUCUGGGCUGAGAUCAAGGUGUGGGCAGGCCUGUCCCUUCUGGCGGCUCUGGGGAGGACCGUUUCCCUGAUGCUCCAGCCCUAGGGGUGCCUUCACCUGGAACAGGUGGUCACCCCCCAGUGUCCAAGUGAACAGUUCAGCAUUUCCCUUACCUGUCCUGUCAUCACAUCUCACUCUCUUCCUUUGGCUUCUUUCCUGUUUGUAAGGACACUGUGAUUACAUCGCGCCCACCAAAAUCAUCCAGAAUCAACU